rnacentral:rRNA from 1 species
AUUGAACGCUGGCGGCAUGCCUUACACAUGCAAGUCGAACGGCAGCACGGGAGCAAUCCUGGUGGCGAGUGGCGAACGGGUGAGUAAUAUAUCGGAACGUGCCCAGUCGUGGGGGAUAACGUAGCGAAAGCUACGCUAAUACCGCAUACGAUCUAUGGAUGAAAGCGGGGGAUCGCAAGACCUCGCGCGAUUGGAGCGGCCGAUAUCAGAUUAGGUAGUUGGUGAGGUAAAGGCUCACCAAGCCGACGAUCUGUAGCUGGUCUGAGGA